UACGUAGGGGGCAAGCGUUGUCCGGAUUUAUUGGGCGUAAAGAGCGUGUAGGCGGCUUUACAGGUCCGUUGUGAAAACUCGAGGCUCAACCUCGAGACGCCGGUGGAAACCGUAAGGCUAGAGUCCGGAAGAGGAGAGUGGAAUUCCUGGUGUAGCGGUGAAAUGCGUAGAUAUCUGGAGGAACACCGGUGGCGAAGGCGGCAUCCUGGACCGGUAUUGACGCUGAGGCGCGAAAGCCAGGGGAGCAAACGGG
rnacentral:rRNA from 1 species